UAAUUGAUUGGCAUCAAUUGAUUAGUAAAGAUUUAUCGGUGAAAGAUGGGCAUGCGUAUCAUUAGCUAGUUGGUGUGGUAACGGCACACCAAGGCGACGAUGAUUAGGGGUCCUGAGAGGGAGAUCCCCCACACUGGUACUGAGACACGGACCAGACUCCUACGGGAGGCAGCAGUGAGGAAUAUUGGUCAAUGGAGGCAACUCUGAACCAGCCAUGCCGCGUGCAGGAUGACGGUCCUAUGGAUUGUAAACUGCUUUUGUACGGGAAGAAAUGUAUUUACGUGUAGAUAUUUGACGGUACCGUAAGAAUAAGGAUCGGCUAACUCCGUGCCAGCAGCCGCGGUAAUACGGAGGAUCCGAGCGUUAUCCGGAAUUAUUGGGUUUAAAGGGUUCGUANGGCGGCUAAGUAAGUCAGUGGUGAAAUCUUGCANGCUUAACUGUAAAAUUGCCGUUGAUACUGCUUGGCUUGAAUAGUAUUGGAAGUAAUUAGAAUAUGUAGUGUAGCGGUGAAAUGCUUAGAUAUUACAUGGGAAUACCAAUUGCGAAGGCAGAUUACUACGUAUUUAUUGACGCUGAUGAACGAAAGCGUGGGUAGCGAACAGGAUUAGAUACCCUGGUAGUCCACGCCGUAAACGAUGGAUACUAGCUGUUCGGUUUUCGGACUGAGUGGCUAAGCGAAAGUGAUAAGUAUCCCACCUGGGGAGUACGUUCGCAAGAAUGAAACUCAAAGGAAUUGACGGGGGCCCGCACAAGCGGUGGAGCAUGUGGUUUAAUUCGAUGAUACGCGAGGAACCUUACCAAGGCUUAAAUGUAGAUUGACAGGUUUAGAGAUAGACUUUCCUUCGGGCAAUUUACAAGGUGCUGCAUGGUUGUCGUCAGCUCGUGCCGUGAGGUGUCAGGUUAAGUCCUAUAACGAGCGCAACCCCUAUUGUUAGUUGCCAGCGGGUCAAGCCGGGAACUCUAACAAGACUGCCAGUGCAAACUGUGAGGAAGGUGGGGAUGACGUCAAAUCAUCACGGCCCUUACGUCUUGGGCUACACACGUGCUACAAUGGCCAGUACAGAAAGCAGCUACCAGGCAACUGGAUGCGAAUCUCAAAAGCUGGUCUCAGUUCGGAUUGGAGUCUGCAA
rnacentral:rRNA from 1 species